rnacentral:lncRNA from 1 species
CAUAACAGAAAAAAAUUGCAUUCUGUGCAAAUUAGCCUCAACUAAUCUAUCUAAAGCUCCGUUAGCAUAAUAUCUACAGCUCAAUUCAUGCGAGAAGUGAGGUUUUGGAAUUCAUCUUCACUGCACGGAAUUGUAAGACCACCCAUUGGAUGAUCAUAUCCAAAUUCUUCUUCUGAUUGAUUUAGUAAUUCUUGAAAUGAGGGUUGGUUCAAGUAUGAUACAGGAAUCACAAACCGUCUCAUUUUAUCUCCAACGUAGACUGCAAGAUAGCCUUUUGGCACUUCAAAUCCCUUGCUAGAUGCUUGUGUUGACGAAAAUGAUGGCUUUCUGAUAAGCUUUGCUAUGCGGAAACCCAUUGUUUUUUUUAUGGUUAGAGGAUUUGGAUGAGAAAGAUUUAUUUGAAUUAUGAUAAUUUAGGAUGCAAAAGACUUGUGUUGCUUGAGAACACAAUGAAUAGGUGUAUAUAUAGUUGCCAAGGGACUCUACAAAAUCAAUCAGCCAAUGGAAGCAUUUUGAUGAGCUGUGAUAGGGCCUAGUGAGGGACAAGGGAUCACAUGGUAUUGUCCUAUAGAAGUCAUUUUCAAACUAUUAGAUGAAGCUAAAUGGAAGAACAUGCACAUACCCUACUCUGUAACACAACUAAGGAAAAAUUAAAGACAGUGGAUUGGUGAAAGAAACUUGAUGUUUGUUGCUAUAGCUAAUCCAAUAUGUUUGUUCCCACAUCUUUCUUCUAAAUGACAAGGCAACUAAUAUACAUAUACCUGCUAAAUACAUCACAUAUAUGUGCAACUUGUAAAGCUUGAGUAGGACCUGAUUUAUAGCUCAGAAACAGUGUGAGGAGGAAAAAGAGAACCAAUUUUGAACACAAGAUCAUGGGCCUCUAUGAACCACAUUUUAUAUUAUUACAAGACAAGCUUCAUGAUAUUUGCAUACCAGGACAGAAGUUUGCGGUCCUUGCCUUCUUAAUUAAGUAUCAAGGUCAAUUAAACUUUCUAGUGAGGUGAUAUGUUGGUGUAUUAUCUGUCAUGACAUUUGGUCUUUGUGAAAGUCUGAAAGACUUCCAAGACAAUACCAUGUGAUCUUAUAUAUCCUCUUGUCUCUUUGUAUAUUCUUUGUCCCCAACCUAAUCCUAUACUAUAGGACUAUAGGAUACACCUUCACCAAUCAUUCAAGUAGCCAACUGUUUCUCAAUAUGAAUUCUUUCAUCUAUUUAUAUUCAAGGCUACAAGCAUUUAGGACCAACACAAAACAUUCACAUCCUAAAGCAUUCAGUUUUCAAAAACUUGUUAUUGCUACAAUUUAUCUUAUUUUAAAACAAUUUCUUCUCAAGUUUUAACACAUACAACAAUGGGUUUUCGUGUCCCUAGUAUCAUCAGAAAGUCAUCAUUUUCUGCAAGCCGAGUAAUUUCAAAAGUUGUGGAUGUGCCAAAGGGAUAUCUUGCAGUGUAUGUUGGAAAACAAAAGCGAUUUGUGAUCCCCAUAUCAUACUUGAACCAACCAUCGUUUCAAGACUUGUUGAGUCAAGCUGAGGAAGAGUUUGGAUAUGAUCAUUCCAUGGGUGGCCUCACCAUUCCUUGCACAGAAGAUGUCUUUCAACACAUAACAUCUCGCUUGAACGGAAUAUGAAUCUAACACAAAAAAGAGACUGACAUAGUUUAGUAGACUAGAGACAUUUUUGUAAACUAGGCCUGUUAUCAAAUUGUAAAGAUGGGAAAAAAGACCAUUAGAUUGAAAUUCUUUAUAUAGCGUAUAUAUUAUUUUGUUUAGUGAAAACGAAUUCGACUACUCAAGCAGCUCCUCUACUUUUUUGGUUUAUUGCACUUCAGAACUUACAAAAUUCGAUUAUAUGAGUAAUUCUGCUUGCUAUAAGACAAAAAAUGAAUUGGCAUUCUGAAAAAUUUCAAAGCAGGAAUUGAGCACACACAUAUUCUUGGCAAAGGGCAGAUCAAAUUUAUUUUUCUUAAGACAAAAGGUGAAAUCUAAAUUUACCAUUUUUUUUUACUACAUAAUAUAGACAUGAAAUUAAAAUUUUGGAGUGCCAAAGCUUUAAUCUUACAUGAAGUACAUUCCUUUCAUAAACAAGUACACAAUACCAAUUCAUCAACAAGGGAAAUUAUUUCACUGAAUGACAUAGGCCUCAUUAUAUGGUUCCUGUUAGGAUAUCCUUAUCUAAAGAAUUGAAUGGUUAGUACUUACUUAGUGAGAGACAACAGCUCAAGAACCACCACAUGGUGCUGUCUUAUGACUACAAGUUUUUCUUGAAGUGUCACCUACGUAUUCAUUGCUGAAAUAACGACCUUGUUUUUUCUUCAAGACAUCUCAUAUUUUCACUUUUUUGUCCACCUUUCUUUGAUCUCUAUAUUGAUUAGUACUAAUAAAUUUUGUAUCGCUAACAUGGCGUUAUGACAGCUAAAGGAAAUCUCUUUAAUUGUUGGAACAUUAUUUGCACAUAACUAUUAGUCAUUUUGGUCUGAUAGAAGUUUAAAUUCAAUAUUGGUUGCAUGUUAUAAUGUCUUCUGCAGUCAAAAUCAAUGGCUUUCUUUAUCAUAACAGCUUGCAGGACUAGUACUUUGUGAAUAGCACGGAAAGUCCUUUUGAUUGUAAUAUAUGUUGUGAAUUCGGUCAAUUCCAAACUUCACAUCAAUAAAAUUUAGAUUCGUGGCAACCAACAACCAAAAAUUGAUUAACCACAAGCAACAACAACAAGUGCAUGGCAAAACCACAAUCCAACCAAAGAAUAAACAAGAUAAAGAGAGUAAAGACAAGAUAACAACACCAAAGAUUGUUGACUCAGUUCGGUCCAACUUGACCUAAUCUGGGGGAGAGAUUGAUCUCUCCAAUCCACUAUCAAUGAGUUUUUACAAAGAGAUACAAAUGGGUUACAAGAAAUUAGCUUCAACAAGCUCACAAAGAACAACCCUAAUUUCUACACAUUUUACCAAUCUCACCAAUGAACAAGACACUCAUGAUUUUCACUCUCCCUGUUUACAAUUGUUUCAAAACUCAAGAAUCUAACCCCCAAAAGAGAACCAACCCUUAGUCUUUGAUUUCACUAAGGAUCUUCUUUUUUGGUUUUACAAGACUCACCCAAAAAGACUCUCCACUCAUGUGUUUCCCAACCCCAUGAAUCUUCCCCAAAAGACACCAACCCCUUUCCCAAGAGCCCCUUCUUUUGGUUCUCCAAGAUUCACAUCUUAAAGCUUUGAACCUCACCCAAAGACCCUCAACCUUUAGUAUCUAAAACCCUAAAAGUUCCCUCCUUUGGUUUUCAUGAGAUUCACCAAGCUUACCCAACAAAUGGGUCAUGGAGUGCUUAUAUAGUGUUUAGAUCCGGACAAAAUCGUGUCACGAUUUCCCAAAUCGUGACACGGUUGAUGCGUACGACCCAAGGUACGACCAACCUUAUCCUGAAACCGUGCCGAACAAGUUGAAAAUCGUGUCACGUUUUCCCAAAAUCGUGUCACGAUUGAACACAUCAAGGAACCAUGCUCACUACCUGCCAAAUCGUGACACGGUACACAAAUCAUGUCACGAUCCUGAAUUUUGCUAAAAAUCAUUUUUGAGGCACUUUGCAACAGUAUAGUCUUCAUCAAUACCGCACUUUUUCCAACUGCACAAGCACUACCAUGCAACAUAUAAUUAAAUUGCAAACUGGUAAGAAAUUGUUGUAAGCUGGGAAUUUCCUAUAAACAACCACAUGCCUUGGUAGUUGGUUAGGCCCAUUCACUUAAUUCUCAGGUUUGUAACCUGUCCUCCUUGAAUCUAGUAAAUGUAAAUCUUAAACCAGUCAACUUCUCCUAUGAAGAUUUGUUGCCCUUGAUAUCUAAAGGGACAUGAAAAACUAUGGAAGAGUUUUACAUAUUAAGCUUUACAUGAAGAGAUAUAAUUGAUUGACAAUGUAAAACUUUUAUACGUUCUAAGUGCAUGUUUUGUCUUGUUCACCCCUUCGAACAUUUCUGUCAAGUGCCAAUAGUCAACACACAAUGCUGCUAUAUUAAUUCAUGACAUCAUGGUCACAUUAUAAUUUCAUUCAGGUUGCACUAAGAUGGUGUACUAACAUGGACCGAGAUUAAAAGCUUCAACAAAGAGAGGAUGCAAUAAAAUCUUGAUAUAUUUGAUUUUGAGCUGAGGAUAUGAUUCCCUUUGAUAUAAAAGGAACAUGGGAAGCUACGGAAGAUUGUUAUAGAUUGGUGCCAGCAGCUUUGGCAUAAAAAAACUCUCCAUAGUCUUACAAGAUGCAAUAAUCUCUCCUGCAGUUAAUCAGGUAGAAUAAGAAUUUAACACCAGUUGAUUUGGUUCAUCCUGACGGGUUAAACAGGGCGGAUCAAGAAUUUAACACUAGUUGAGUUGAUUUGAUCAUGUCUUGUUUUUUUGGCGGGUUAAACGGCACGGAUCAACUUAGUAGUGGAACACAGAACUUCAACUCGUCUCGCUGGAAAUUGCGGAUUCAACGGGAUGGCACAGCAGACUUGGCCCGAUUUUUCACUCAUACUUGAGUGUUUUCUCUUAGUGUUUUAUCAAUAAAUUUACGCAAUAAACUUAUCUUUUUAAUUUUGGAAUUAAUUCAUAUAAUUGAACGGAUUGUGAUACUUUAAUACUGUUCUAUAUAUUAGAAUUUCUUGAGAUCUGGAAAAAACUAAAAAUAAUUGAAGAGUUGUGAUAACAUUAUCAUUGAGGGAACAUUUUGUUUCCGUAGGAAUGAUUGAUACAUGGAAGAAACAAAAUGAAAAAAAAUAUUAAUAACAGAAAAAAUUGUCAUCUGAGCAAAUUAGCCUCAACUAAUCUAUCUUAAUCUGUAUCCAAAAAAAAUAAAAAUCUAUCUUAAUCUCCAUUAGCAUGAUUUACAAAUCACUUAAGCGAGAAGUGAGUUGUAAGAAAGCAUCUUCACCGCAAGGAAUUGUAAGACCACCCAUUGGAUGAUCAUAUCCAAAUUCUUCUUCUGAUUGAUUUAGUAAUUCUUGAAACGAUGGCUGGCUCAAAUAUGAUACUGGAAUCACGAACCGCCUCAUUCUAUCUCCAACAUAGACUGCGAGAUAGCCUUUUGGGACUUCAAGUCCCUUGGCAGUCUCUUGUGUUUUGGAAAAUGAUGGCAUUCUGAUAAGCUUUGCUAUGCGGAAACCCAUUGUUUUUAUUAUGUAUGGCUCCUCACAAAAAGAUACUGAUGAUGGCAGAGGAUUGGAUGAGAAAGAAAUAUUUGAAUUCUUAUAAUUCAGAAUGCAAAAGAUUUAUGUUGAUUUGAGAAUCCAAGGAAUAAUGUAUAUAUAGUUUCUAAGGGCCUCUACAAACCAAUUAAUCAGUGAAUGUAAUUUGGUGAGCUGUGAUAGGGUCAAGUGAAGGACAAGGGAUCACAUGGUAUUGUCCUAUACAUAUUUUUUCAAGGAUUAGGAAGCUUAAUGGAAGAGCAUGCACAUACCCCACAUUGUGAGAUAAUGGCCAACAAAUAACCCUACUUGAAGUUUGAGACAAUGCAAUGGUGAAAGAAACCUGAUGUUUUUUCUUGCAUUUGGGUAUAGAUAAUCCAAUUGUAGACAUGCUUUAGACAUCUCACAUGUUUCUUCUAAUUGACAUUGCAGCAAAUAUACAUCUACCAACUGAAUAUAUAUCAUAUUUAUGUGAAACUUAUAAGGUUGUGUAGGACCUGAUUGAUAGCUUAAAAACAAAGACUGUGAGGAGGAAAAAAGAAAAUCGAUAUUGAACACAAGAUCAUGAUAUUUGCUUACCAGAACAGAACUUCGCGGUCCCUGCCUUCUUAAUUAAGUAUCAAGGUCAAUUAAACUUUCUAGUGGGGUGAUGUGUUGGUGUAUUAUCUGUUAUGACAUUUAGUCUUUGUGAAAUACUUCUAAGACAACACCAUGUGAUCUUAUAUAUGCUCUUGCCUCCUUGUAGAUUCUUUGACCCUAACCUAAAUUUUAAUUCUAUACUAUAGGAUACCCCUCCUUCACCAAUCAUUCAAGUAGGCAACUGUUUCUCAAAAUUAGUUCUUACAUCUAUAUAUAUUCAAGGCUACAAGCAUUUAGGACCAACACAAAACAUUCACAUCCUAAAGCAUUCAGAUUUCAAAAACUUGGUCUUUGCUUAAAAGUUUAUUUUAUUUUUAAACCAUUUCUUCUAAAGUUUUAACACAUACAACAAUGGGUUUUCGUUUCCCUGGUAUCAUCAGAAAGGCAUCAUUUUCUGCAAACCGAUCAGCUUCAAAAUCUGUGGACGUGCCAAAGGGAUAUCUUGCAGUAUAUGUUGGAGAGAAACAGACGCGGUAUUUAAUCCCCGUAUCAUACUUGAGCCAACCUUCAUUUCAAGGCUUGCUGAGUCAAGUUGAGGAAGAGUUUGGAUAUGAUCAUCCCAUGGGUGGCCUCACCAUUCCUUGCACGGAAGAUGUCUUUCAACAUAUAACUUCUUGCUUCAAUGGGCUAUGAAUCUGAGACCAAAAGAGUCUGACAUAGUUUAGUAGAGACAUUUUUUGUAAACUAGGCAUCUGAUGAAUUUAUGGAGUAUAUAUAUAUUUUUUGUUUAAUGAAAACGAAUUCGACUACUCAAGCUGAUCCUCUAUGUUUAUGUUUAUUGCACUUGCUAUAAGAAGAAAUUUUUUUUCCCUAGGACAAAGGUGAAACAUAAAUUUACCGAAGUGUACAAUAACAAUUCAGUAACAAAGUCAAUUGUUUCACUGAAUGACAUAGGCUGCAUUCUAUGGUGCCUGUUAGGAUAUCCUUAUCUAAAGAAUUGAAUGACUCAGGAGGCUAUAUGACUCACUAACCACCACAUGGUGUUGUCUUAUAGAUUUUCAUCAAGAGACACAAGAGAUUUUAGAAUAAUGGCAUUUUUUUUUUAGAAUAAUGAAUAAACAAGUAUUAGCUGUUGACUUGCUGUACAUAUUUCUGUUUAAAAAAAAAUUCAAAUGGGUACCUACUCGCUCCUUCAUCAGAAUGUGGGGCAUUCAACAUGUAUAAUUUUUUCAUCUUUGAUUGAAGACGUCCUACACAAUACCAUGUGAUCCUUCACCUUACUUUGCAUAGGCCUUCAAUCAUUUAUGAACCUAGUGGUUUUCCAAACAAUAAACUUAUAAAUUCAAGUAUUGCACAUACUUCCUAAUCAUAGUCUAUCAUUGUAACUUUUCCUUAGUUAUUUAUGUUAUAUUUAUAUUCAGAUUUCAGACUCAAUGUUAAAAUACAUUUUUUUUUUGAUGAAAAAUCCAAAACCUUUUUUUCCAUCCUUUUUAUUUCAAAUGUUUACAUAUAACUUUUAAUAUGUACUUCAAUAUAUGCACGAAAUGUUUCUAGUUACCUUGAAACACAAGUAACUUACUAGUGUUUCCAAUACAGUCAGGAACAGUUGCAUUCUUAUGAUCUUAAAUUCAUGAUGUUAACUUUGGACUAACAUCUAAUAUUAUUUGAUCAAUAAAUUUGUUGUUGAUCCCAAGGAAACAUAUUUAAGCAAUAAAUUUAUUUUCGUUUUGAUUCUGGAAUGAGUUCAUAUAACAAAUUAAUGAUGCUGCUGUAUAUCACAGAAUUUGUUGAAAUAUAGAAAAAGGUAAAAAUGAUUUAACAAUAUCUUGUCAUAGCAUUCUCAUUGAGGGAACAUUUUGUUUCCAUAGGAAUGAUUGAUACAUGGAAGAAACAAAAUGAAAAAAAUAUUCAUGACAGAAAAAAAAAAUGGUUCUGUGCUAAUUAGCCUUAACUAAUCUAUCUAAGUCUGAUUAGCAUGAUUUACGGCUCAAUUCAAUCGAGAAGUGAGUUGUAAGAAAGAAUCUUCACUGCAAGGAAUUGUGAGACCACCCGUUGGAUGAUCGUAUCCAUCCAAAUUCUUCUUCUGCUUGAUUUAGUAAUUCUUGAAAUAAUGGUUGGUUCAAGUAUGAUACUGGAAUCACGAACCGUUUCAUUCUAUCUCCAACAUAGACUGCGAGAUAGCCUUUUGGGACUUCAAAUCCCUUGGUAGAUGCUUGCGUUGAGGAAAAUGAUGGCAUUCUGAUAAGUUUUGCUAUGCGGAAACCCAUUGUUUUUUUUUUUUUUUUUUUUUUUUUAUGGUUAGAGGAUUUGGAUGAGAAAGAAAUAUUUGAAUUCUGAUAAUUUAUGAUGCAAAAGACUUGUGUUACUUGAGACCCAAAGAGUAGUGUAUAAAUAGUUGCUAAGGGACUCUACAAACCAAUUAGCCAAUGAAAGUAUUUUGAUGAGCUGUGAUAGGGCCUAGUGAGGGACAAGAGAUCACAUGGUAUUGUCUUAUAGAAGUCAUUUUCAAGGAUUAGAUGAAGUUAAAUGGAAGAACAUGCAAAUACCCCACUUUGUAACACAAAGGAAAAAUUAAAGACAGUGGAUUGAUGAAAGAAACCUGAUGUUUUCUGCUAUAGCUAAUCCAAUGGUUGACAUCCAUUAGACAUCUCAUAUGUUUCUUCUAAUUGAUGUUAUAGCUAAUAUACAUCUACCAGCUAAAUACAUCUCAGAUUUGUGUGCAACUUGUUAGGCUUGUGUUGGAACAGUGUGAGGAGGAGAGAAGAGAACCGAUAUUGAACACAAGAACAUGAGCCACUAUGAACCACAUUUUAUAUUUUUGCAUGACAGACUCCACAAAAUUUGCAUACCAGAACAAAACUUUGCGAUCCCUGCCAUCCUAAUCAAAUAUGAAGGUCAAUUAAACUUUCUAUUCCAUGAAUAGGUCUGUUUUAUGGUAGGGUAGGCCUCUAAGACAAUACCAUGUGAUCUUAUAUAUGCUCUUGUCUCCUUGUAGAUUCCAUGACUCCAUCCUGAUCCUAUACUACAGUAUAUACUUCCACUAAUAAUUCAAGUAGCCAAUGGUUUCUCAAAAUUCUUUUAUCUAUAUAAAUUUUAUAGGUUAGAACCAUUUAGAACCAACUCUAAUCAUUCACAUCCUAAAAACAUUUGCAAUUUGAAAAACUUGGCUAUUGCUUUUAAUUUUUUUCUAAAACCACUUCUUCUAACUUUUUAACACAUACAACAAUGGGUAUCCGUUUCUCUGGUAUUAUCAGAAGGGCCUCAUUUUCUGCAAACCGAGCAAUAUCAAAAGCUGCGGACAUGCCAAAGAGAUAUCUUGCUGUAUAUGUUGGAUAGAAACAGACACGGCAUGUGAUCCGCAUAUCAUACUUGAACCAACCUUCAUUUCAAGAAUUGUUGAGUCAAGCCGAGGAAGAGUUUGGUUACAAUCAUCCCAUGGGUGGCCUCACCGUUCCUUGCACGGAAGAUGUUUUCCAACAUAUAACUUCUCACUUGAAUGGACUAUGAAUCAAACACCAAAAUAGACUAACGUAGUUUUAGUAGAGAUAAUUUUUUGUAAUCUAGUUAUCUUAUCAGAUUGUAAAGAUGAAAAAUGUCAUUAGAUUGACAAAUUUAUAGCAUAAAGACAUUUUUUAAUGACAAUGAAUUCGACUACUCAAACAUCUCCUUUGUGUUUUUGGUUUAUUGCACUUAAAAACUUAUGAAAUAUGACUAUAUGAGUAAUGUUGCUUGCUAUAAGAAAAUUAAGGGACUAGGUAUCCUGAAAAUUAAGGGAAUUUUUAUUUAUUUUUAAUUUAUUUUUAAUUUUUUUUAUAAACUACAUAACAUUUUCAAAGCUCUUCAUCAAUCAUUUGUGUACCAAAUGGUUUUCCAAACCACUCUUUAUCUAUAUAUAUUUAGAGAUGAUUAUGGUUGCUGUCAGAAACAAUUAACUUCCUCUAAUCAUAGCCUAAUAUUUUAAUUUUUUUCCUAGUUAUUUAUGUUAAACAUAUAAUGGGCGACAUUGUUAUUGAGUAGGGUGAUGGUUCGUAACUAAAUACUAAAUAUUCAUAAAUCUAAAACCUUUUUCCAUCGUUUAUAUUGUAGAUGUUUACAUAUAAUUUUUCAUUAUAUACGCACAAAAUGAUUCUAGUAACCUUGACACACAAGUAAUUUAUUGCAGCCUUUCCAAUAUACUGUCAAGAAAAGUUGCAUUUAUGAUCUUAAAUUCAUGAUGUUAACUUGGAGUGUCUUCUGGUAAUGUUUGAUCAAUAAAUUUGUGUUUCAACAUGAGGAGAUAUAUUUAUGCAAUAAAUUUAUUUUCUUUUUGAUUCUGGAAUGAAUUCAUAUAGCAAACUAAUGAUGCUGUAUAUAAUAGAAUUUGUUGAGAUUUAGAAUAAGCUAAAAAUGAUUUAACAAUAUCUUGUACCAACAUUCUCAUUGAGGGAACAUUUUGUUUCCGUAGGAAUGAGUGUUACAUGGCAGAAACAAAAUGAACAAAAUAUUCAAAACAGAUAAAAAAAAAAAAGCCUUCUAUGCAAAUUAGAAUGAACUAAUCUAUAUUAAUCUCUAUUAGCAUGAUAUCUACAGCUCAAUUCAUGCGAGAAGUGAGGUUUCGGAAUUCAUCCUCGCUGCACGGAAUGGUAAGACCACCCAUUGGAUGAUCAUAUCCAUAUUCUUCUUCAGAUUGAUUUAGCAAUUCUUGAAAUGAAGGUUGGUUCAAGUAUGAUACUGGAAUCACAAACCGCCUCAUUUGAUCUCCA